UUCUCUUUGAAUUUGUGGGUGUUACUAUCAUUCUCUAUAAGUUGCUAUGAUUUGGUCAGCAAAUGGGAUUAGGGGGUUAGUUUUGAAGAGUCCUGUUAAUCAGAUGUGGCACGAUCUUCAAGCUUUAAUGGGAGACAUUAUCCCAUGAACAAGGUUUGGCAGCGGCUAUAAAGAAGGAAGGUGGAAUUUUCAACUCCAAACCGAACAAUCUUAGGUUUUUGCCCACGAAAGAAAACCUAAAGAGAAAGGAAAUCAUCAGAGAAGUGCAAGAUACUAUGAUGAGUAGGAUCGAGAAGAGGAAGAAAUGUAUCAAAACAGGAGAAGCCAACAAUGAUGAAUCCUUACAAUGAAUCUUGAGUGGGCCAAUGCUCAAACAGAGAGGCUAUACAAUAGAGACAUUUAUUCAUAUAUGUAUUAUGAAGGGGGGAUUUCAUCAGUAUACAUGUGGAAAGAUAAUGAAGACUUUGCGGCUUGCUUCCUAAUAAAGAAAGGUCAGUUUUUCAACAAAGAAUGCAUGUCCUUUUGUUAAAAAAAAAAUAUAUGAUUGCACUGAUUUGUGAUGGUUGUUGGGGAUGAAGAUGGCUCAAAGUCAGGGCAUGGUCGAAGAAGUUAUUUGCAAGAAGGUGCAUGGGAUGUUA